rnacentral:rRNA from 1 species
UUAAAAAGCUCGUAGUUGGAUUUCUGGUUGGAGCAAUCGGUCGGCCCCGCAAGGGGUCUGUACUAGCGUUGUCUCGGGCCAUCCUUGUGGGAACUGUGCGGCCGUUAACUCGGUUGUAUGUGGGAACACAUCGUUUACUGUGAAAAAAUUAGAGUGUUUAAAGCAGGCUUAGGCCGUUGAAUACAUUAGCAUGGAAUAAUAAGAUAAGACUUGGGUCAUUAUUUUGUUGGUUUGCGGACUCAGGUAAUGAUUAAUAGGGAUAGUUGGGGGUAUUCAUAUUUAAUUGUCAGAGGUGAAAUUCUUGAUUUAUGAAAGAUGAACUUAGGCGAAAGCAUUUACCAAGGAUGUUUUCAUUAAUCAAGAACGAAAGUUAGGGGAUCGAAGAUGAUUAGAUACCAUCGUAGUCUUAACCAUAAACUAUGCCGACUAGGGAUUGGAGGUCGUUACUUAAUGACUCCUUC